rnacentral:rRNA from 1 species
AUUGAACGCUGGCGGCAGGCCUAACACAUGCAAGUAGAGAGAGCGGCGGACGGGUGAGUAAUGUAUGGGGAACUGCCUGAUGGAGGGGGAUAACUACUGGAAACGGUAGCUAAUACCGCAUACCAUCAGAUGUACCCAGAUGGGAUUAGCUGGUAGGUGGGGUAACGGCUCACCUAGGCGACGAUCCCUAGCUGGUCUGAGAGGAUGACCAGCCACACUGGAACUGAGACACGGUCCAGACUCCUACGGGAGGCAGCAGUGGGGAAUAUUGCACAAUGGGCGCAAGCCUGAUGCAGCCAUGCCGCGUGUAUGAAGAAGGCCCUCGGGUUGUAAAGGACUUGCAGUGGGGAGGCGUUACCCGCAGAAGAAGCACCGGCUAACUCCGUGCCAGCAGCCGCGGUAAUAC